rnacentral:rRNA from 1 species
GAUGAACGCUGGCGGCGUGCUUAACACAUGCAAGUCGAGCGAUGAAGUUUCCUUCGGGAAACGGAUUAGCGGCAGACGGGUGAGUAACACGUGGGUAACCUGCCUCAUAGAGUGGAAUAGCCUUCCGAAAGGAAGAUUAAUACCGCAUAAUGUUGAAAGAUGGCAUCAUCAUUUAACCAAAGGAGCAAUCCGCUAUGAGAUGGACCCGCGGCGCAUUAGCUAGUUGGUGGGGUAACGGCCUACCAAGGCGACGAUGCGUAGCCGACCUGAGAGGGUGAUCGGCCACAUGGGGACUGAGACACGGCCCAGACUCCUACGGGAGGCAGCAGUGGGGAAUAUUGCACAAUGGGGGAAACCCUGAUGCAGCAACGCCGCGUGAGUGAUGGAGGUUUUCGGAUCGUAAAGCUCUGUCUUUGGGGAAGAUAAUGACGGUACCCAAGGAGGAAGCCACGGCUAACUACGUGCCAGCCGCCGCGGUAAUAC